GGCCUAACACAUGCAAGUCGAGCGCUACCUUCGGGUGGAGCGGCGGACGGGUUAGUAACGCGUGGGAACAUACCCCUUUCUAAGGAAUAGCCUCGGGAAACUGAGAGUAAUACCUUAUACGCCCUUCGGGGGAAAGAUUUAUCGGGGAGGGAUUGGCCCGCGUAAGAUUAGGUAGUUGGUGGGGUAAUGGCCUACCAAGCCUACGAUCUUUAGCUGGUUUUAGAGGACGAUCAGCAACAUUGGGACUGAGACACGGCCCAGACUCCUACGGGAGGCAACAGUGGGGAAUCUUAGACAAUGGGCGCAAGCCUGAUCUAGCCAUGCCGCGUGAGCGACGAAGGUCUUAGGAUCGUAAAGCUCUUUCGCCAGAGAUGAUAAUGACAGUAUCUGGUAAAGAAACCCCGGCUAACUCCGUGCCAGCAGCCGCGGUAAUACGGAGGGGGUUAGCGUUGUUCGGAAUUACUGGGCGUAAAGCGCGCGUAGGCGGAUUAGUAAGUUAGGGGUGAAAUCCCAGGGCUCAACCCUGGAACUGCCUCUAAUACUGCUAGUCUUGAGUUCGAGAGAGGUGAGUGGAAUUCCGAG
rnacentral:rRNA from 1 species